rnacentral:rRNA from 1 species
AAUAGAUACCCUGGUAGUCCACGCCCUAAACGAUGCGAACUGGAUGUUGGAUUCAACUUUGGAACCCAGUAUCGAAGCUAACGCGUUAAGUUCGCCGCCUGGGGAGUACGGUCGCAAGACUGAAACUCAAAGGAAUUGACGGGGGCCCGCACAAGCGGUGGAGUAUGUGGUUUAAUUCGAUGCAACGCGAAGAACCUUACCUGGUCUUGACAUCCACGGAACUUUCCAGAGAUGGAUUGGUGCCUUCGGGAACCGUGAGACAGGUGCUGCAUGGCUGUCGUCAGCUCGUGUCGUGAGAUGUUGGGUUAAGUCCCGCAACGAGCGCAACCCUUGUCCUUAGUUGCCAGCACGUAAUGGUGGGAACUCUAAGGAGACCGCCGGUGACAAACCGGAGGAAAGUGGGGAUGACGUCAAGGUCAUCAUGGCCCUUACGACCAGGGCUACACACGUACUACAAUGGGAAGGACAGAGGGCUGCAAUCCCGCGAGGGUGAGCCAAUCCCAGAAACCUUCUCUCAGUCCGGAUCGGAGU